AUUCUGGUUGAUCCUACAGUAUAUACGCUUGUCUCAAAGGUUAAGCCAUGCAUGUCUAAGUACAACAUAAAUGAAUGUGAAACCGCAUAAGGCUCAGUAUAACAGCUAUAAUUCCAAGAUCAUCUCACACUAGUUACUUGGAUAACUGUGGAAAUCCAGAGUAAUACAUGCAACAUGCCGGGACUGUUGCCUCGCGGGUAGCUGACUGGUGCACUUAUUAGUUAAACCAUCGCCUCCGGCGGCUUGAGUUGAAGUCUGGAUAAGCGCAGAUCGUAUGGUCGCUUGUCGACUGACGACAGAUCUUUCAAAUGUCUGCCCUAUCCAACUAUUGAUGGUAGUGUAGAGGACUACCAUUGUUGCGACGGGUUACGGGAGAUCAGGGUUCGAUUCCGGAGAGGAGCCUGAGAAAUGGCUACCACAUCAAGGAAGGCAGCAGGCGCGUAAAUUACCCAUCCCAGUACGGGGAGGUAGUGACGAGAAAUGAACAAUAUGGACCUCUCUAACGAUGGUCCAUAAUUGGAAUGAGUUGAGUAUAAAUCCUUCAACAAGGAUCAAGUGGAGGGCAAGUCUGGUGCCAGCAGCCCGGUAAUUCCAGCUCCACUAGCGUAUAUUAAAGUUGUUUGCGGUUUAAAACGUUCGAGUUGAUUGCCCGUCCAGACACGUGACCGCCACGGGCGCCGCGUUACACGCCGGGGCCGUUCGUGCGCGCCGCUCACGGCCUUCGAUCACAAUUGUGUACUUGGGCGUUACUCUGUGAACGAGUACCGUGCUUACCGGUUACUCCGGCACGGGCUCCUCAUGUGCCAAGAUACUCACAUUUACCUUGAACAAAUUAGAGUGUCAAAGCAGGCUAAGACAAAGCGUCCGGCCCCCGUGGGGUGGAUCGUUGGCCGAGAUAAUCUUGCAUGAAUAAUGGAAUAUGACCUCGGUUUAUACGAUUUCGUUGCGUUUGUCAGAAACCUAGAGGUAUGAUUACAGAAGUAGUUGGGGCAUGUGUAUUACGGCGCGAAGAGGGUGUGAAAUUCGUAGACCGUCGUAGGACCAACUGAAGCGAAAGCGUUUGCCAUGGAUGCUUUCUUUAAUCAAGAACGAAAGUUAGAGGAUCGAAGGCCGAUUAGAUACCGCCCUAGUUCUAACCGUAACGAUGCCAAUAGCAAUUGGGAGACGCUACCCCUAUUCGGUGCUCUCAGUCGCUUCGGGAAACCAAAAUCGGGUUCCGGGGGAAGUAUGGUUGCAAAGUUGAAACUAAAGGAAAUUGACGGAAGGGCACCACAAGAAAGUGGAGCUUGCGGCUUAAUUUGACUCAAACGCGGAAAUUUACCAGUCCAACUUAUCGAGGUAAGAAGAUUGAUAGCUCUUUCUCAAAUUUAGGGUAGUGGUGCAUGGCCGUUCUUUGUUCGUGGAAUGAUUUGUCUGCGUUAAUUCGAUAAGCAACGUGCAAACAUUGCUAACUAGAACGCUGUCAGCAGUGCGCCUCCGGGCGCACUGACGUUACACGCGGCGGCGCUUCACGGGCGGUCGUCGGCUACGUGUUGCCUGCUUAGCGGGACAAUGUGUUUAGCAAGCUGAGAAUGAGCGAUAACAGGUCCGUGAUGCCCUUAGAUCUUCUGGGGCUGCACGCGUGCUACAAUGUGGGUGCGCGCGCAGCGUGUUCUCGCCAAUAGGCGCCCCCAUUCCGAGAGGAACGGGAAAAUCACUAAAAUGCCCAUCUAGUCGGGAUUGGGGACUGCAACGGUCCCAUGAACCUGGAAUUUCUAGUAAGCACUAGUCAUUACUAGUGCUGAUUACGUCCCUGCCCUUUGUACACACCGCCCGUCGCUACUACCGAUGGAUUAUUUAGUGAGGUUUCUGGAGGCUUACCUUUCGCGGUUCUUCGUGAGCUGCAGCUGGCAGGCUAAUUGACCGAACAUGAUGAUUUAGAGAAGUUAAAAGUCGUAACAAGGUUUCCGUUAGGUGAACCUGGCCAACCGAAUUCAUGU
rnacentral:rRNA from 1 species